AGAGUGUAGGCGAGGCGGUUGCGGAUGAUGAGCCUGUGCUUGCUUGGGCUGGCUGUGGCCGGUUCAAGGGGCGAUCGGUCGUCAUCUGAGGAAAGUCCGGGCUUCCGAAAGACCAGGCUUGCUGGGUAACGCCCAGUGCGAGCGAUCGUGAGGAUAGUGCCACAGAAAAAUACCGCCGAGCCACCGAGCCGCUUAAAAAUUCCCCACCCAAACUGUCCCACUUUGCUGCGGCAGAAGAUUGUUUUCGGUGACUGAAUUGUUAACGGCUCUGGCUCGGUAAGGGUGCAAAGGUGCGGUAAGAGCGCACCAGCAGCAUCGAGAGGUGCUGGCUCGGUAAACCCCGGCCGGAAGCAAGGUGAGGGGCAAGGGUUGGUCUUUUUCCUGUCCCGCUUUGAGAACCGCUUGAGGCGAUCGGUAACGAUCGUCCCAGAUAGAUAACCGCCCAUUGAUUGGCCCUUGGCGUGCGGCUUGCUGUGCUCCGAGGCCAAUUGAGGACAGAACCCGGCUUACGUCCUGCCUCUCCUU
rfam:Limnothrix sp. P13C2 contig_25, whole genome shotgun sequence.